GCCUGUGGUGGUGCAGUGGUUAGAGUGUUGGACUCUGGGAGAGAUUUGGGUUCGAAUCCCCACUCGGGCA